rnacentral:rRNA from 1 species
GAUGAACGCUCGCUACAGGCUUAACACAUGCAAGUCGUGGGGCAGCGGAUACUUAGCUUGCUAAGUAUGCCGGCGACCGGCGCACGGGUGAGUAACGCGUACCGAACCUGCCCAUCACACAGGGCUAGGCUUGCGAAAGCAAGAUUAGUAUCUGAUGGUCUCAAUUUUAUGCAUGUAUGAUUGAGUAAAGCCUUCGGGCGGUGAUGGAUGGCGGUGCGUCCCAUUAGGAAGUUGGCGGGGUAACGGCCCACCAAUCCUUCGAUGGGUAGGGGUUCUGAGAGGAAGGUCCCCAACAGUGGAACUGAGAUACGGUCCAACCUACGACGGGAGGCAGCAGUGAGGAAUAUUGGUCAAUGGGCGAGAGCCUGAACCAGCCAAGUAGCGUGCGGGAUGAAGGCCCUUGUGGGCGUAAACCGCUUUUAUCAGUGAAUAAAGUGCACCACGUGUGGUGUCAUUGCAGGUAGCUGAAGAAAAAGGACCGGCUAAUUCCGUG